CGUAGGUGGCAAGCGUUGUCCGGAUUUAUUGGGUUUAAAGGGUGCGUAGGCGGCCUUAUAAGUCAGUGCUGAAAUAUCCCGGCUUAACCGGGAGGGUGGCAUUGAUACUGUAGGGCUUGAGUACAGAUGAGGUAGGCGGAAUUGACGGUGUAGCGGUGAAAUGCAUAGAUAUCAUCAAGAACACCGAUAGCGAAGGCAGCUUACUGGGCUGUAACUGACGCUGAUGCACGAAAGUGUGGGGAUCAAACAGGAUUAGAUACCCUGGUAGUCCACACUGUAAACGUUGAUUACUCGCUGUUUGCGAUACACAGCAAGCGGCUUAGCGAAAGCGAUAAGUAAUCCACCUGGGGAGUACGCCGGCAACGGUG
rnacentral:rRNA from 1 species